GUAUUUCUCCGACAGAAAUCGUUUAGUUAUUUUCUAUCAUCAAGAAUGGUUGCAUUGAAAGUUCUGAUUGUUGGGAUCGUGUUCCUGCUGAGCAUUGUCCAGCUUAUGGCCAGCCUCCCCACCUAUUCAAAAUUUCCGGUUUUAGGCGGGUGCGGCGUAUUUUGCUAUAACAAGAAUUCCAUUGAUUCUUCGCCCCAUUGAUGCCACUAAUGGACAGAAUAAUAUAACAUUUAUAAUAGUACAUAUAAAAUCAAUGCGCUGCUUAUAAAAGUUAUUGAAUUGUCGAAAUAAAUAAAUAAA